UUACGUCCAUAUCACGUUGAAAAACCAGUUCCUGUACGAACAUCGAAGUUAAGUAAUGUCGAGUCUAGUCAGUACCUAAACGGGUUACCGCUUGGGAAUACCAGGUGUUAUA